UGCGACGGCGCCGCUUCUGCCGAGCGAAGGAAAUACGAAGCUUUAGCUUCGUCUCCGGCGGUCGGCGAGGGUUUUUCCCGGUGAGAUCUUCACAAUCGCGAGUCCCCUUCAUCGAGGAGAAGGUGUUGCCGCAAGGGAUCACGGGAAUCUUUACCUAUCCGGAACCCUAGACUUCUCCUUUCCGGUUGUAAGUCCAAGAUCGCUCGAUAAAGGAAAGGAAAAGAUUUAGCAAGGAAGGCGACAAGGUGGUGGUGAUAGAGGUGUGUGAUGGCUGGACUAUGGGGAGAUCAAAAGUUUGCUAAGGAAUUAUCAAGACUUUUCUGUUUAGAGUUCUUUAGUUUCCUUUAAAUGUUAUUAUGAGUUAAGAUUGUUAUUAAGUUUAUUCAGCAUU